UGGGGAAUAUUGGACAAUGGGCGAAAGCCUGAUCCAGCAACGCCGCGUGAGGGAUGACGGCCUUCGGGUUGUAAACCUCUUUCAGCGGGGACGAAGCGAAAGUGACGGUACCCGCAGAAGAAGGACCGGCCAACUACGUGCCAGCAGCCGCGGUAAUACGUAGGGUCCGAGCGUUGUCCGGAAUUAUUGGGCGUAAAGGGCUCGUAGGCGGUUUGUCGCGUCGGGAGUGAAAACACGGGGCUUAACCCCGUGCCUGCUUCCGAUACGGGCAGACUAGAGGUAUGCAGGGGAGAACGGAAUUCCUGGUGUAGCGGUGAAAUGCGCAGAUAUCAGGAGGAACACCGGUGGCGAAGGCGGUUCUCUGGGCAUUACCUGACGCUGAGGAGCGAAAGUGUGGGGAGCGAACA
rnacentral:rRNA from 1 species